rnacentral:lncRNA from 1 species
GAAAGAAUUAUGAUGUUGACAUGAGAGUACUUGGAAUGUUUUUAAAACACCACUCAGUUGCUAAAGGAAUACUGCCUAAGCACAUCAUGAAUGCUGAAGAUGAAGAAAAAUGUUUUAAAGUCUCUAGGUACGUGCUAUUGAUUGGUUUUAUGAGCUACUGCUUGAUGGGAGCAAAGGUAUUUCAAACUUUGGAGACAGACAUUCAGGAAAAGUUGAAGAAUUCCUUUCUGGAUGCCGAAACAGCUUUAAUGAAGAACUAUGUCAAUAUAACUCCAGAAGAACUUGAAAUCUUUUUGCAGAUGCUGGCUUUGUCUAUAAAACAUGGAAUAAUCCCCGUAAGAACUGGAGUUGUUUAUUUUAGUUGGAGUUUUAGGAACUCUUUCUCAUUUGUGGCAUCCACAUUAAGUACAAUAGGUGUGUUUUUUUUUAACACUCAUUGGCUGGGUGUGCAAGUUCUCCACUGGGUGCCCAUGAGCCAGUGAGACUAGAUUCAGCAUAGAGGACAAGAAAAAAACAGAAGAGGAAGAACAAUUUAUCAGUCACUAAUUCAGAGCCAACAAUGGCAUCCUGCAAAAGACCAUCCUAACCUUAUAACAUGUGGACAGGACUACAAGGGAAAAUGGGAAAUUGAACAUAAUUAACAGAGACAAGAUUCCAGAGUAGAAGAACUCAAGAUCACCUCCUCUCACAGAAACACCAAAAUUAGAACUAACUGUUGAACAACCAUCAACAAAAUAGACUUGAAGCUACCAAAAAAGAUAUCCUAUAUACAAAGACAAAGAAGAAGUCACAUCAAGACAGUAGGAGGGGUUAUUUCACGACAUAAGCAAUCCCAAAACUGCCAGGUGGGUGACCCACAGAUUGGAAAAUAACUAUAUUAUAGAGGCUCUCCCACAGGUGUGAGAGUUUGAGGCCCCAUGUCAGGUUCCCACACCUGGGGGUCUGGCAUUGGGAGGAGGAGCCCCUGGAACAUUUGGCAUUGAAGGCCAGUGAGGCUUGACUACAGGAGUUCCACAGGACUGGGGGGAACAGAGACUUCACUCUAGGAGGGCACACACAAGGUUUCAUGUGCACUGGGUCACAGGGCAAAGCAGGGACUCUAUAAGAAUCUGGAUCAAGCCCACUGAGAGGUCUUGGAGGGUCUCCUUGGAAUGUGGGGGUG